rnacentral:misc_RNA from 1 species
GGAGAGGAUGGUGCUGUUGAAGUUCCAAAAGGGACGACGCGUAUUGUUGGACCUGAGGCCCUGGUUGAUCAAAGGGAAUUUGAAGAGGAGCAUCUUAGACUGGAUUCACCUGGAGGUGUGAAAGGGACCCAGGAUAUUUCAGAGGCUGUUGAAUUUGAACCUGAAUUGUUGCAGUUUAAAGUUGGUGAUGCAAGGGCUGGGGAAGAAAACAGUACGGAGUCAACUGUAGC